CCUACGGGGGGCUGCAGUGGGGAAUAUUGCGCAAUGGGGGAAACCCUGACGCAGCGACGCCGCGUGAGCGAUGAAGGCCUUAGGGUCGUAAAGCUCUGUUUUAAGGGACGAAUGUCGUAUGGAGUAAUACGUCAUACGAAUGACGGUACCUUAAGAGGAAGCCCCGGCUAACUACGUGCCAGCAGCCGCGGUAAGACGUAGGGGGCGAGCGUUGUCCGGAAUUACUGGGCGUAAAGAGCACGUAGGCGGGACCUUAAGUCAGAUGUGAAAGACCGUGGCUCAACCACGGGGUUGCAUAUGAAACUGGGGUUCUUGAGGGCAGGAGAGGAAAGUGGAAUUCCUGGUGUAGCGGUGAAAUGCGUAGAAAUCAGGAGGAACACCGGUGGCGAAGGCGACUUUCUGGACUGACCCUGACGCUGAGGUGCGAAAGCGUGGGUAGCAAACAGGAUUAGAUACCCUUGUAGUC
rnacentral:rRNA from 1 species